rnacentral:rRNA from 1 species
CAGUCGCCGCGGUAAUACGUAGGGUGCGAGCGUUGUCCGGAAUUAUUGGGCGUAAAGAGCUCGUAGGCGGCUUGUCGCGUCGGAUGUGAAAGCCCGGGGCUUAACUCCGGGUCUGCAUUCGAUACGGGCAGGCUAGAGUGUGGUAGGGGAGAUCGGAAUUCCUGGUGUAGCGGUGAAAUGCGCAGAUAUCAGGAGGAACACCGGUGGCGAAGGCGGAUCUCUGGGCCAUUACUGACGCUGAGGAGCGAAAGCGUGGGGAGCGAACAGGAUUAGAUACCCGUGUAGUCCCUGUCUCUUAUAC